UGACAAAGCCUCAUCUAAGUAGCAUUAUUUUUGCGCAAUUUUCUUUUUCUUCUAGUAUCCGUGCAACUAGCCCAGUUUUUAGGGAUCUGUGGAGCAGUUCAAUAAGCCUGUUUGAUUAAGGAUUAUAUGAUGUGAUCGUCCUAUUUGCGAUUCCAAGUGCCCUGCAACCACACGUCCAAAUAGCACUUGUGAAUUGCAUUCUUCAGUAAAUUUUUCGAUAUCAAAACGUAAUUUAGUGUAAGCAUAGAAAAGUGAUACCCUUCUUAAAGUCUCUUUGAAUCCCGGAUGAUUGUCUUUGUGGCUUGAAUGAAUAAUUCAUCGGCGAAUUUCUGGAGAGGACACCACGACACGAAAGAAGUAUUCGUUGCCAAAUCCUGCAAAAUUUAGGGACAUGGAGUCUUUGAUCUUCAAUGACAUCUGGAAGAAAGUUGGGACUUAAUUUGAUGUUGUUGACAUUUCUCGAAAGAAUAGCGGCGGUGUAGUUUAAUUUUCUUGAAACAUGAUCAAUCCUACAAUUAAACUCUGCUACAUAUGCAAAUGUACGGAAUUGUCUUGGAGUCUAGGAGGGAACGCGGAUGUCUAUCACAGAAACAGGUUUAUGAUCUGUGAAUACUCCAAAAUUUUGUCCAUCUAAUGCCCACAGAAAAUGUUUAAUGCUUUCUUUAAUAGAAAAUAAGGAAUUAGACCAAAAUGCUAGUGGUUGCCAGCCCCAUUCACUUUCUGUUCCAGAAUGGCUACCAUUCCAGUAUCAGACGUAUCUGUUGUGAGGGCUAAAGAGUAAGUACCCAGCCGGAAGUUUUAAGCUGCAACAAAACUGCAUUUAUGGAAUCCAAUGUGCAUUCCUCGAAGAUAUUUUUAAUUCCCCUCAAAACAGAAUCAAUGAGUCGUUGGAAUGUCCGGGCAGUGUUUUUAAACUCAUACGGCUUUCUCAAGUACUCAUACAAGCCAAAUGGCGUAAUGAUAGCUGUUUUACUGAUGGAGUCUUCACUCAUGGGUAUUUGGAUUGUAAGGUCUGUGCAAGUCCAUUUUACUCAAAAAUGUCAUCCCUCUUAAGUUGACCACGAAAUCCCUAAAUUUGAAGGAGGAUAUCGCUCUAGAUCCGUCAUGUUAUUUAAUUGACGAUAAUCACCACACAUUCGCCAGCCUCCUUUUGCUUUAGGUAGUACAUGAAUAGCUGAUGAGAAAUUUGAAGAAGAUGGGCGAAUUAUUCCCUUCUCUAGAAGUCCAUCAAUUUUGUUUUUAACAAAAUUGAGUUAAACACAAUCCAGCUUGCGGGAUUUUGCAAUGCAGGAAGGAGCCUUAGUUUCGAUGUGAUGUUCAACUCCAUGACUGUGUAAGAUUCAGCGAAUUUUUAUCAUCGAAAACUUUUAGAUUUUAGAUAUUGAGAUUGAACCAAUUGCCUUACAAUAAUGCUGCUCUUCUCCUAAAUAUUCUUCAAAUAGUCAGUGUGACCACAUAAACUUUCAUUUGUUUAAAUUUUAUAAUAUUGGCAAAUCAUACUAUUUUCAACUAUAUGCAUAAAUAAGACAAGUAAAUCCAACCCUCAGGGCCGGUUUAAGUGUGAGAAGGGCUCUUAUCUUAUUACUCUCAUAAGACACAUAAUUUUUCAAUUUGAUUUCUUAUACAGGUGUAUGAAGUAGAAAUGGGAAUUUCUACUUCAUAGGAAUGAGAUAAUAAUGAUAACAGACUAAAAAAAAUGAAUACAAUUUCCAGUUUGUCAACUCCCAAAAAACGGUUCAGCUAGAAAGCAAGAGUGGUUCAUUUGAGUUGGAAUCUGAAAAGAGUUUUUUUUAAAUUUCUGAAGCGUUGUCAUUAUUUUUUUAAUAAUAAAUAAACAUUCUAGUUCAAAAUUAUCACCCUCAAUUAUAACCCACCAUCCCAUUUGUUUUCCUUUGAAACAUAAAACAACAAAAAAGAAUUAUAAUAAAAAAUAUGCAAAACAAUCACAGAGCUAAAAAAAGUUUAAAGAUUGCUCAUAAAAAUAAUAUCAAAUGACGUUGCUCACCUCAUUCUUUACGUUUCCGGAAUCUAUUUAUUACUAUUGUCUUUCGCUUAAGAUCAUAUUUAAUCUACCAAGAAGGAAAGUAUCGAACCAAAUCAGUGGUGAAGUUCAAACGCAAGGAAUUUCUAAUAGGAAUACGCUAGGAAAAAACGGGACACCUAGCUACAGUCGCAAUAAUUACAUUCCUAAUUUCCCCAAAUCGUAGUUAAUUGCCAGAAGUAAGUCAACUUGCUAAAAGAUAUUUAGAACUUAUUAAUGCAUAAGCAUUUCUGGGCUUGAACAACUUUGUAGAGGAAUCCUUUACAAAUUAUGUGGUUUUAUGUGAUUUGAAGGCAUACCCACCAAGCCCAACAACUAAGUUAAUGCCUUAAUUAAAAUAAUAGUUUUCGAUACCACGUGACACUCCACAAAACAUAAAGAACUGAUUUGUAUAUCCUCCCACAAUCCUUGUAGGGUGUACAGAAAAAAAUACAGCCAAUUGUAACUUGGAACUGGCCCCUAAAUUUAUUGUCUUCUCUAACAAUAUUAGUCGAAUGCAACCCAUAUUUUUAGCUGAACUAGUAGAUCCAUAUAUUUUUUUCAUUUUAAUGCUCUGUCAGAAUCAAUUCUAGUGUUAUAGGUCAUUUUAAAUGCCAUGGUAGUGAGUAUAAAUGUAGUUUAGUCUACCUAAGUAGCUGCUAUUUACCCAAUAAUGGCCGAUUUUUUUCAUUGGAUUUCUCAUAAAUCGUAAGAAUUGCUUUACUUGUGGCCAAAACAAAACGAGGCUUCCACCUAGUUGACUUUUGGUCUCUUGAGUGGCGCAAUAUAAUUGCAAUAGAAUAAAACUCAGAGACAUUCAUCUGCUUUCUAAAUCCUUGUUGGACUCGGAAUGACAUCACAGUAAUUUCGGCCCAUCUAUUUGUAAGAUCCAGAGUGGAGAUUGUGUUGAUUUCCUUCAUCUUCUAGCUAUUUGCAGCCAAUCUACUAAAAUGUCAUAAAAGUAAACUGUUCUCAUCCAAAACAUUUUGUCAAACAAAUUGUCAUAAUUACUUUGCUAAUUUUCGGUUCUUUUCUGUUUUCAUCGAGGCAGAUUAUAUUUUCUACAGCUCAAAUUAAGUUGCAUGUACAAUAUAGAAGUGGAAGAAAGUUCAA
rnacentral:lncRNA from 1 species